GGAAGAAGCGAAAGUGACGGUACCUACAAAAGAAGCACCGGCUAACUAUGUGCCAGCAGCCGCGGUAAUACAUAGGGUGCAAGCGUUGUCCGGAAUUAUUGGGCGUAAAGAGCUCGUAGGUCGUUUGUUACGUCGGAUGUGAAAACCUGAGGCUCAACCUCAGGCCUGCAUUCGAUACGGGCAAACUAGAGUUUGGUAGGGGAGACUGGAAUUCCUGGUGUAGCGGUGGAACGCGCAGAUAUCAGGAGGAACACCAAUGGCGAAGGCAGGUCUCUGGGCCAAUACUGACACUGAGGAGCGAAAGUCUGGGGAGCGAACAGGAUUAGAUACCCUGGUAGUCCAGACCGUAAACGGUGGGCACUAGUUGUGGGAACCUUCCACGGUUUCUGCGACGCAGCUAACGCAUUAAGUGCCCCGCCUGGGGAGUACGAUCGCAAGAUUAAAACUCAAAGGAAUUGACGG
rnacentral:rRNA from 1 species